rnacentral:rRNA from 1 species
GCUUGUCUCAAAGAUUAAGCCAUGCAUGUCUAAGUAUAAACAACUUUAUACUGUGAAACUGCAGAUGGCUCAUUAAAUCAGUUAUAAUCUAUUUGAUGAUUACUUACUACAUGGAUAACCGUGGUAAUUCUAGAGCUAAUACAUGCGUAAAGUCCCGACUCUUUCUGGGGAGGGAUGUAUUUAUUAGAUAAAAAACCAAUGCGGGGCAACCCGGUUUUGUGGUGAAUCAUAGUAACUUUUCGGAUCGCAUAGCUUCACGCUGGCGAUAGUUCAUUCAAAUUUCUGCCCUAUCAGCUUUCGACGGUAGUGUAGUGGACUACCGUGGCGUUAACGGGUGACGGAGAAUUAGGGUUCGAUUCCGGAGAGGGAGCCUGAGAAACGGCUACCACAUCCAAGGAAGGCAGCAGG